GGCCCCUCCCUGAGAGCACCGACGGGAGCCCCGGCCGAGCCCUGGAUCAGUGAUCCCUGCCCAAGGAAGCCCCCUCUGGACAGGAGGGGGAGCGGUUGGUCCUCACCCUAGGAAGAGAUGAGCCUCCUCAGCCCCAAAAAGGAAGAGAAAGAGGACGGCUUUCUGGGUCCCCAUGAGAUGGGAAUGUUCCCACUUUCUAUCUGGAUUCUCUGCAGAAGACAGCAAGAUAACCCAGGGGAUAUUGGUGGAAAGGGUGAGUGAAUGGGAAUCAAGCUGAAGGAAGAGAAAGAAGGAAAGAAAGAUACCAGUAAACCACCAAUGUACAGACCAGAGGAGGAAUUGUCAUAAAUAACUAUUAGGUUUCUAUGACAUUUGAAAAUACAUGUACUUUUUACUGUAUGUGAACAGUGAA